rnacentral:rRNA from 1 species
ACGGCGGACGGGUGAGUAACGCGUAGGCAACCUGCCCUUUGCAGAGGGAUAGCCUCGGGAAACCGGGAUUAAAACCUCACGACACCUCUUAAAGACAUCUUUGAGAGGUCAAAGAUUUAUCGGCAGAGGAUGGGCCUGCGUCUGAUUAGCUAGUUGGUGGGGUAACGGCCUACCAAGGCGACGAUCAGUAGCCGACCUGAGAGGGUGAUCGGCCACAUUGGAACUGAGACACGGUCCAA